UGCAGAAUAGGAAUUGAACAUGAAAAGUUUGGGUUCGAGCUGAAAACAUUGAAGCCUAUGACAUAUGGACAAAUAGCAGAUCUGCUGAAUGCUAUUUCUGAGAGAUUUGACUGGGAGAAAAUCAUGGAAGGGGACAAUAUAAUUGGGCUUAAAUAGGGAAAACAAAGUAUAUCUAUGGAACCUGGUGGUCAGUUUGAGCUUAGUAGCGCUCCUCUUGAAACUCUCCAUCAAACAUGUGCAGAAGUGAAUUCACACCUUUACCAGGUGAAAGCUGUUGCUGAAGAGAUGGGAAUUGGAUUUAUAGGAAUUGGUUUCCAUCCAAAAUUGGAAAGAAAAGAUAUACCUAUAAUGCCUAAAGUAA